rnacentral:rRNA from 1 species
GACGAACGCUGGCGGCGUGCCUAAUACAUGCAAGUAGAACGCACAGUUUAUACCGUAGCUUGCUCCACCAUAGACUGUGAGUUGCGAACGGGUGAGUAACGCGUAGGUAACCUGCCUGGUAGCGGGGGAUAACUAUUGGAAACGAUAGCUAAUACCGCAUAAUAUUAAUUAUUGCAUGAUAAUUAAUUGAAAGGUGCAAUUGCACCACUACCAGAUGGACCUGCGUUGUAUUAGCUAGUAGGUGAGGUAACGGCUCACCUAGGCGACGAUACAUAGCCGACCUGAGAGGGGGAUCGGCCACACUGGGACUGAGACACGGCCCAGACUCCUACGGGAGGCAGCAGUAGGGAAUCUUCGGCAAUGGACGAAAGUCUGACCGAGCAACGCCGAGUGAGUGAAGAAGGUUUUCGGAUCGUAAAGCUCUGUUGUAAGAGAAGAACGGGUGUGAGAGUGGAAAGUUCACACUGUGACGGUAUCUUACCAGAAAGGGACGGCUAACUACGUG